GGUUAUGGCUCAAUGGUAGAGCACUCACCUAGCAUGUGCAAGGCCCUGGGUUUGAUCCUCAGCACCA
rnacentral:tRNA from 1 species